ACUCGAGUGGCGAACGGGUGAGUAACACGUGGGUGAUCUGCCCUGCACUUCGGGAUAAGCUUGGGAAACUGGGUCUAAUACCGGAUAGGAGCCAUCUUUAGUGUGGUGGCUGGAAAGUUUUUCGGUGUAGGAUGAGCUCGCGGCCUAUCAGCUUGUUGGUGGGGUAAUGGCCUACCAAGGCGGCGACGGGUAGCCGGCCUGAGAGGGUGGACGGCCACAUUGGGACUGAGAUACGGCCCAG
rnacentral:rRNA from 1 species